GGUGUCCAAUGGAAAUAGAACUAUGAGCGGUGAGCAGCGCUCACCACCAGAUCCCCCAGGAGAAGCCACCUUUGCACACCUGGUCCCUGGCAACUGCUCCUGACAUCGCUGGGCUCACCAGCAUUGCUACCACCAUGCCCUAGCCAGGGGCACGCAGAGCCAUUUGGCCAGCAAGUUUCUGACAAGGAGGAGGAGGUGGAGGAGGAGGAGGCGGUGGAGGAGGAGGAGGCGGUG